AGCAGCCGCGGUAAUUCCAGCUCCAAUAGCGUAUAUUAAAGUUGUUGCAGUUAAAAAGCUCGUAGUUGAAUUUCGGGGUCAAUACGUCGGUCGUGCCUCUGGUACGUACUGGUGUUAUUGAUCUCUCCCUUCUGAUGAAUCAUAAUGUCAUUAAUUUGGUGUUUUGGGGAGUCAGGACUGUUACUUUGAAAAAAUUAGAGUGUUUAAAGCAGGCUC
rnacentral:rRNA from 1 species